UGUUCUACAAACGUGUUUGUUUUUUGUUGUUGUUGUUUUGCCAGACACUGCUCAGCUCUGGUUUAUGGUGACUGGGGGACUGAACCUGGGUCUUUGAAGCCUCAUGCACAAAACUCUUUCUGUACAACUAUUAUGCUGUCUCUCCACCACACUUCAGAUUUAAAAAUAUAGUGGUCCGGGAGGUGGCACAGUGAUAAAGCUUUGGACUCUCAAGCAUGAGGUCCCAAGUUCGAUCCCCGGCAGCACAUGUACCAGAGUGAUGAUGUCUGGUUCUUUCUCUUUUUUCUGUCUUUCUCAUUAAUAAACAAAUGAAAUAUUU